rnacentral:lncRNA from 1 species
AUGCCUGGAUGCUUAGAAAUUGGAUAUCGUGGAACUGAAUUAAGUUGCUGGAUUGAUUCCCUUCAUGAGAACGAUCUUGGCGAGAUAAAUAAGGUGCUUAAAUCUGAGGUACUUUAAUAUGUUGGUGUAGAUAUAAACAUACAUAUUGUACUUUGGAUAUUGAACUGAAAUCUGAGGUACUUUAAUAUGUUGGUGAGAUAAAUAAGCUGUUCAAAUCUGCUCAUAUCUUUGUGCCAACUCCUCUUCUUUCUUGAUAAUUUUCCUGAUCCACUUCAGCAGUCAAUGUGAAUUAGGUGAGUUCCCUGUGAAGAGAAAUGAAUUUGCUUGCUUGAUUGAUUACAAAGGAUAACAAAUAUAUAGACUACAAAGCAUAGAGAUGUGCUAAACAAGCGUGGCAGACAACAUUGAUAUGCCAAAUACAAAUUGUGGUCUUGAGCUCCUAAAUGUCUUUUGCAUGUUUUGUCUGAUGGUGGAGAGUUACUCUUAUUAUCCCCCCGCAAGCUGAUGCGGUGAUGAGGAGCAAGCAGCUUGAAACUUGGAACUAAGAUUUGCAAAGCAAUGCUUGAGAAGUACUUCGGUAAAGAUAUCGGCAACAGUGGCUAGAUUGGAGAGAAAACAGAGAAGAAGUAGACAUAAACACAGUGGCUGAAAACACAGAGAAGAAGCAGCAGAAGAGGUGACACACUCCAAAGAUGAGGGAGAUUGAAGAAGUAGUGUGCAACAGGUGGAAUUUUGAGAGAAGAGUAAAUCCACUGUACCGCAGACGCACGAACCCAAAGGGCCCCUCAAAUCUGCGGAAGACGGGAUGGAGCUGGGAUUGAAGUGCAAGAAAGGAAAGGGAGACAGCUUGUUAUAGCAAGUUGGUUGAAGGAAAAUGUAACAAAGGAAAAGGCAAGAAGUGUGAAAAGAAGGAAGAUCGGAAUGGCUGCAGAGUAAUGUUGGAGAAGAAGAUGGUUGGCUGCAGAGUAAUGUUGGAGAAGAAGAUGGUUGCCUCAUGCCGAGAGGAGGAGAAGACUGAACUGAAAAUUGGGAGAAUAGAGAAAGAGAGUUUUGGGUUUGUUUA